rnacentral:rRNA from 1 species
CCUACGGGAGUCAGCAGUGGGGGAUAUUGCACAAUGGGGGAAACCCUGAUGCAGCGCCGCCGCGUGGGUGAAGAAGCGCCUCGGCGCGUAAAGCCCUGUCAGCAGGGAAGAAAAUGACGGUACCUGAAGAAGAAGCCCCGGCUAACUACGUGCCAGCAGCCGCGUGAAUACGUAGGGGGCACGCGUUAUCAGGAUUUACUGGGUGUAAAGGGGGCGCAGACGGCGAUGCAAGCCAGGAGUGAAAGCCCGGGGCCCAACCCCGGGACUGCUCUUGGAACUGCGUGGCGAGAGUGCAGGAGGGGCAGGCGGAAUUCCUGGUGUAGCGGUGAAAUGCGUAGAUAUCAGGAGGAACACCGGUGGCGAAGGCGGCCUGCUGGACUGCAACUGACGUUGAGGCCCGAAAGCGUGGGGAGCAAACAGGAUUAGAUACCCGGGUAGUC